GGGGAAUUAGCUCAGCUGGGAGAGCACCUGCCUUGCCAGUAUGGGGUCAUCGGUUCGAAAAAGAUAUUCACCA
rnacentral:tRNA from 1 species